rnacentral:lncRNA from 1 species
AAGACAGAUCAUAAGUAUAAAAUAAAAGAAUUCAUAUAGAUUAACAUGGACUGGGAUAGUUGACCAGGGGAUUAAAUGGGUGGGAGUGUUAUAAGCAAAACAGUCAAAGGGACUGUAAAAUAGUAACUUUUAUUUCUUUAAAAAUACAUUAAAAUUUUUAUUACUACCUGUCAUGCUCAGAUACAUAUCAUAGGAUAAAAUUUCCCUAAAAUAUAAAAUGGAAUGUUAUGUCUUUAAAAGAUGGUGAUGGCUAAAGACAUCUGCUUCUGUGGCCCACUCCAGGUCAUCUGCAGGAUCUACAGGCCUUCAGGAAGGGUAGAAAGGGUUUGCAGCAACAUGGCCAGUGAGCCACAGCCUCAUGGUGACCAGAGAGCUCGCCUCCCAGCACUGUUCUCAAUGGCUUCUUCCAAAAGACUGUCAGAUGCAACAAAAAGUAACAUUUACAUCGUCCUCUGGGAAACCAUGCUCCUUCCGUCUUGAAGUUUGGGAGAAACCAUGCCUGAGAGCAUGGUUGAGUAUGCAUGGUCGAGGCUUGGACAAUGAAACUGGUGACCCACCCUACACCUACUGUUAUCUCCGGGAUCAACAUACAAAAGUUGUUCUGAUCAAAAAGCUUCUCAGUUUCAGGAGGUCCCAUUUAUUAAUUGCAGACCUCAAUGUCUGUGCUACUGGCAUAAUGUUCAGGAAGCGGUCUCCUGUGCCAAUUUGUUCAAGGGUAAUUCCCACUUUCUCUUCUAGAAGAUUCAGUGUGGCUGGCUUUAUG